AAGUUUAAGGGUUAAGUUUAGGAUAGGGUUAAGUUUAAGGGUUAAGUUUAGGAUAGGGUUAAGUUUAAGGGUUAAGUUUAAGGGUUAAGUUUAGGAUAGGGUUAAGUUUAAGGGUUAAGUUUAGGAUAGGGUUAAGGUUAGGAUAGGGUUAAGUUUAAGGGUUAAGUUUAGGAUAGGGUUAAGUUUAAGGGUUAAGUUUAGGAUAGGGUUAAGUUUAAGGGUUAAGUUUAGGAUAGGGUUAAGUUUAAGGGUUAAGUUUAGGCUUCAGGGAAAAUAUCAUUUGUAAUGGUUGAAUAUUUUUACACUCCAAACAGUCCUGAUUACAGCAUGUUAGUCAUUUAGCGACUUACAGGUCAUUCAUCUUCAGAUAGCUAGGUGGGACAACCACAUAUCACAGUAGUUAGUAUAUUCAGACAGCUAGGUGAGACAACCACAUAUCACAGUAGUUAGUAUAUUCAGAUAGCUAGGUGGGACAACCACAUAUCACAGUAGUUAGUAUAUUCAGACAGCUAGGUGAGACAACCACAUAUCACAGUAGUUAGUAUAUUCAGAUAGCUAGGUGAGACAACCACAUAUCACAGUAGUUAGUAUAUUCAGACAGCUAGGUGAGACAACCACAUAUCACAGUAGUUAGUAUAUUCAGAUAGCUAGGUGGGACAACCACAUAUCACAGUAGUUAGUAUAUUCAGAUAGCUAGGUGAGACAACCACAUAUCACAGUAGUUAGUAUAUUAAUCUUCAGAUAGCUAGGUGGGACUACCACAUAUCACAGUAGUUAGUAUAUUCAGAUAGCUAGGUGGGACUACCACAUAUCACAGUAGUUAGUAUAUUCAGAUAGCUAGGUGGGACAACCACAUAUCACAGUAGUUAGUAUAUUCAGAUAGCUAGGUGGGACUACCACAUAUCACAGUAGUUAGUAUAUUCAGAUAGCUAGGUGAGACAACCACAUAUCACAGUAGUUAGUAUAUUCAGAUAGCUAGGUGGGACAACCACAUAUCACAGUAGUUAGUAUAUUCAGAUAGCUAGGUGGGACUACCACAUAUCACAGUAGUUAGUAUAUUCAGAUAGCUAGGUGAGACAACCACAUAUCACAGUAGUUAGUAUAUUCAGAUAGCUAGGUGGGACAACCACAUAUCACAGUAGUUAGUAUAUUCAGAUAGCUAGGUGAGACAACCACAUAUCACAGUAGUUAGUAUAUUCAGAUAGCUAGGUGGGACUACCACAUAUCACAGUAGUUAGUAUAUUCAGAUAGCUAGGUGAGACAACCACAUAUCACAGUAGUUAGUAUAUUCAGAUAGCUAGGUGAGACAACCACAUAUCACAGUAGUUAGUAUAUUCAGAUAGCUAGGUGAGACUACCACAUAUCACAGUAGUUAGUAUAUUCAUCUUCAGAUAGCUAGGUGGGACAACCACAUAUCACAGUAGUUAGUAUAUUCAGAUAGCUAGGUGGGACUACCACAUAUCACAGUAGUUAGUAUAUUCAGAUAGCUAGGUGAGACAACCACAUAUCACAGUAGUUAGUAUAUUCAGAUAGCUAGGUGAGACAACCACAUAUCACAGUAGUUAGUAUAUUCAGAUAGCUAGGUGGGACAACCACAUAUCACAGUAGUUAGUAUAUUCAGAUAGCUAGGUGAGACAACCACAUAUCACAGUAGUUAGUAUAUUCAGAUAGCUAGGUGAGACAACCACAUAUCACAGUAGUUAGUAUAUUCAGAUAGCUAGGUGGGACAACCACAUAUCACAGUAGUUAGUAUAUUCAGAUAGCUAGGUGAGACAACCACAUAUCACAGUAGUUAGUAUAUUCAGAUAGCUAGGUGAGACAACCACAUAUCACAGUAGUUAGUAUAUUCAGAUAGCUAGGUGAGACAACCACAUAUCACAGUAGUUAGUAUAUUCAGAUAGCUAGGUGGGACAACCACAUAUCACAGUAGUUAGUAUAUUCAGAUGGACAGGGACUCUGCUGUCCUAGCUUCAGGGGGAAGAUGGACAGGGACUCUGCUGUCCUAGCUUCAGGGGGAAGCGGUUUCCAUCUUUGGGGUGCCAGGACAGAGAAGAGCUUGGACUGGGUUGAGCUGGAGCUGUCCUCCCGUAGGGGUGGGAGGGCAGAGACCAGAGGUCAUUUAUCUAAGGUCAGGGCAUGUUUUCACAGCUUAUGUAGCUGUAUAAAAGUGGUUAGUGGGACCGGAAGCCAUAUCUAGUCUCUCAGCAGUGAGACCACUGAGACUCAGCUUCUCUCACACACACA